UUAGCUCUCUUUCUUCUCAUCUCAAAAAAAAGCUCAGAGUAUUUAUGGAAACAAGGAGAGAGAAACUAGAGAGAAAAAAUAUGUCUUCCUUCAACAACAAUGGCGAUGAGCUCAAAACCACCUAUCAUCCCUUCGACGAUGUUUAUGGGAGCUUGUGGAAGAUGAUAUUUGAUGUAGUUUUCUCCGAUCUUCAGGAUUCGUGGUGGAGGUGGUAUUUCGAAUCUCUCUCACACUCACUCUCUAAACUUACCAUUGGAGCAGUUUUUGAGUUUAGUUUUUUUCUUUGAAUUAGCUGAUCAAUUACCACUCCUCUCUUGUGAAAUCGAUUCCUCCAGUUUCGGCCCGCCGUCUCCGAGGUUCCCGUUCAGUCUGAGAUUGUGUUUCAAUUUCCUCCAUUAAAGCAUCUUCUUGAGGUAAGAUCUCUAUCCUUUUUAUAAUCAUCUAAUAUCAAUUUUGACAAUCUUUUAACAGUAAUCCUUUUUUUUGCUACGUUUCUUCAUUAAGCUUCUUAAUUAAUUUUCUCAAAUUCGAUUAAUAACUCGAACUAUUUUUAAAUGACUGAGUGGUGAUGAAACCUAAGAAAGGGAAAAAGAGGAGAGAAACUGUGAUGAACGGCGCCGGAAAUAAUAGCCAUCAAUUUGAUGAAACUCAGAAAUUUGUAAGUGGAACAGCAACCAUACCAAUUCCAGUUACUCGGAAUUGCCGGUGAUGUCCCUUGCUCACCAACCUCAUACUCUUUCAUCAACACCCUGAGCUUGAAGUUGUUGCUUAAGAUAUUCGCAGAGUGUUAGAGCUGCUGGAGCAAAUGCGGAGGUUUGUUUCUGCGGAUUGUAUCUAUAUUCUUUAUGGAAAUGAAAAUGAAUCACUGUUGUUAUGAACGGUAACAUGAGAAGUAGCGUACUACAGCUUAUACGAGGAAAGAGCCUUUGAUAAUAUCGUUAUAUCACCUGGCCCUGGUUCUGUAAUCUGUGCUGCUAAUAUAGUCUACACAAUCAAGAAAAAAUGUCUUAAUUGAGGAGUUGAGGUUUAUGGGUUAUACUAUUGCGCUUGUCUAUUAUUUAUUAUAUUGGGCCAUAACAAUGUCAAGGAUGGUGAUUCUUCAUCUCAUACUGGAAGCUGUAUAUUGAAGUCUAUAAGGAGUGCUUUCAACUUUUGGUUUGACCAAAAUGCAUGUUUCUACAAGUAGACAAACUGUAUAAAAAUGUUAAUAGAAAAUUAGAAACCAUUCUUAUGAGGGCAAAAUGGUUUGACCAAAAUGCAUGUUUCUAUAAGCAAUUUUCAUAGAAAUCAUGUAUACUUGUACAGUAUAGGUUUACUGACCAUAUAACUUCAAUUUCUUUAUUCGUUCGUUGUUUUGUUGGAAUGUUGGAUGAAUCUCAACGUGUAUAAUACGAGAAUAUUAUGUUGAAAAAUGAGAUGAUCAAAAGUCAUUGUACUGCUCUCAGUUUCUUAUUGA